GAUAUAGGCGCAAUAACAAGUGCUAGAGCAGCUGCAUUAUAUGGGCUUGACAUUCUUGCAGAUAAAAUCCAGGACGAGGAUGAUAACGUUACCAAGUAUUUGGUACUUGCAAGAGAACCCAUAAUUCCCGGAACGGACAGGGUUUAUAAGACCAGUAUACUUUUUACUCUAGAAGAAGGUCCUGGCAUGCUAUUCAAAGCCUUGGCUGUGUUCUCUCUAAGGGAUACUA